rnacentral:rRNA from 1 species
CGUGAGGGAAAGUUGAAAAGUACUUUGAAGAGAGAGUAAACAGUGCGUGAAACCGCUCAGAGGUAAACGGGUGGAGUUGAACUGCGUGCUUUGAGAAUUCAGCUGGUGAUUGUAUUAUGAACUUGGUCAUUUUGGUUGAACUACGGGGUCUGCGUAACAGCAGGUCUUUGCCUUCGGGCAAGGAUGGACGAUGCACUCAUCAAGUGUUGUGCGCCUUGUUUGUUCUUCGAAUCAGUUGUCAGUGCACUUUCUCAGAGUGGUCACCACGACCGGCACUGCUGCCUGGCUGUUGUGGUUAAACCGGUUAGGCAUUGUCCUUGUGGCUUUGUUUAGUCGGGAAGGCAGGUAGCCCGUUGGUCUGCUUGUGGCUUGCUGCAAGUGUUGGCUUUCGGGUGUAAUCAGCUGACCAUGAUGGUUCUGUGUGGUGUGUCGGAGACGGCGGUUYGUGGUGCGUGCAUGUGCGGUAGUCUGCUGGCGUGUUCGGGUUUGGUUGCCAUGUUGUCUGUUCAAGCAGGCCUGGUGAUGGCUCGAAUUYGUUCGGCGGGUUAUUGUGUGUGUGGCACCGUUACAGGGCCCAUAGUCUGUGGUGUUGCGGUAGAUGAUCCACCUGACCCGUCUUGAAACACGGACCAAGGAGAGUAACAUGUGUGCGAGUCAUUGGGCGUAACGAAACCCAUAGGCGCAGUGAAAGUAAAGGUUUGGCCUGUCCAGACUGAGGUGAGAUCUCGUCGUUUCCUACACAUGGUGYCACCAAGUUUUGAGCGGCGAGCGCAUCACCGGCCCGUCCCAUGACGUAGACGGGGUCAUUUGACCCACGCAUCGUCGGGGCGGAGCAUGAGCGUACAUGUUGAGACCCGAAAGAUGGUGAACUAUGCUUGCGCAGGUUGAAGCCAGAGGAAACUCUGGUGGAGGACCGCAGCGAUUCUGACGUGCAAAUCGAUCGUCAAACGUGAGUAUAGGGGCGAAAGACUAAUCGAACCAUCUAGUAGCUGGUUCCCUCCGAAGUUUCCC